UACGUAGGGGGCAAGCGUUAUCCGGAUUCACUGGGUGUAAAGGGAGCGUAGGCGGCAGUGCAAGUCAGAAGUGAAAGCCCGGGGCUCAACUCCGGGACUGCUUUUGAAACUGUACAGCUUGAUUGCAGGAGAGGCAAGUGGAAUUCCUAGUGUAGCGGUGAAAUGCGUAGAUAUUAGGAGGAACACCAGUGGCGAAGGCGGCUUGCUGGACUGUAAAUGACGCUGAGGCUCGAAAGCGUGGGGAGCAAACAGG
rnacentral:rRNA from 1 species